rnacentral:rRNA from 1 species
GAUCAUGGCUCAGGACGAACGCUGGCGGCGUGCUUAACACAUGCAAGUCGAACGAAGAGCGAUGGAAGCUUGCUUCUAUCAAUCUUAGUGGCGAACGGGUGAGUAACGCGUAAUCAACCUGCCCUUCAGAGGGGGACAACAGUUGGAAACGACUGCUAAUACCGCAUACGAUCUAAUCUCGGCAUCGAGGAUGGAUGAAAGGUGGCCUCUAUUUAUAAGCUAUC